UCGGGUCGAGUCACUGCGCGGAUCAUUGCCAGAACUGCGCUGUUUUGAGGCUAUUGAAACAGGCCCUAAACGACGUCGUUUCGUACUUGUUAUAAAAUCAAUAUUUUUUUAAAACAUUCCAUUUUCUGCCAUUUUUUUUUAUAAAAAACAAACCAACCCUAGCUUUCUCUGCUAGGGUUUCUAACUUUUUCCUGAGCCGCCGCUGCGUCACUUUCCUUCCACCGUGGCUCCACCGCGAUCGGUGACCGGAUGCUCACUGAGUUGGGUUUUUGAACCCCGUUGGAGCAGAUCCGAGGGCAAAGGUACGGAGGCCGUGGAGGCGAACGUGGGGAAGCAGCUGCCGAAACUUCUGGGGUCUCUGCAUGCUGUUUGUUUUGGUAUUGGGCUCCAUUAGGUUUAGCAAUUGGGCUAGGUAUUUGGGCUAGGAUAACUUUGAAUUUUGGGUUUAUAGAUUAUAUAUUUUUUGUUGACUUCGUAAUCCGGGCAAAAUUAGGUAUUACACUAACCACCUCAGCUAAAACCUUGACCCCUAACUGUUGAUACAGCUCUCUGUGUAACAUCAGGUCUAUCAUUUUCGUUUGUCAGACUUUCACGAGUGAAGUGUUCUAGUGAUCCACAUCGAAAACACCUUUUAGUCAAUUUCUAGCAUUUUCCCUAGUGUUUCUUCCCACAAUGUUCACAACUCGGCGCUUCAGAAGUUCUAUUCAACCCUUUUACACUGCAAACAUAAAUGGUGCGUCGGUGAUCUCACAUUCUGUUUGAUGUAGUUGAUCUUGCAACUGUCUUCCUAUGCUCACGAGAUUCUUUAGUUCGUUUUGGUACUGAAUGUGAACUAAGAGCCUCGAGUCAUUUUCCUGUAACACGAGAAGGUUCAGAUUUCUUGCUUAAUCCCAAAUAUUGUUCUACCAUUUUUGCCCGUUUGGACAAAUCAACAAACUCCUUAAUUUUCAAUGCAACUAAUUGAAUCCUGAUCUCA